rnacentral:rRNA from 1 species
AGAGAGAGACAUGCGCGCAUAUCAAUAAGCGGAGGAAAAGAAACUAACUAGGAUUCCCUUAGUAACGGCGAGUGAAGCGGGAAGAGCUCAAAUUUGAAAUCUUCAAGGUUCUACCUUGACGAAUUGUAGUUUAAAGAAGUGUCUUCUGUUGGAGUUUUGGUAAAAGUUCUUUGGAAUAGGACAUCAUAGAGGGUGAGAAUCCCGUAUUCGACCAUUUCUUCCAGCUGUGUGAUACACUUUCAAAGAGUCGGAUUGUUUGGGAAUGCAGUCCAAAAUGGGUGGUAAAUUUCAUCUAAAGCUAAAUAUUGGCGAGAGACCGAUAGCGAACAAGUACCGUGAGGGAAAGAUGAAAAGAACUUUGAAAAGAGAGUUAAACAGUACGUGAAAUUGUCAAAAGGGAAGCGUUUGACACCAGUGUUGUUUUCUCGAAAAUCAAUUAAAAAUGGCCGGAUUUUGUGUUGUAUUGACUUUAUCAGCUUUCUGCACUUGUUUUCUUGUCUUUUUUAAUGCACUUUUCGUUUAACAAGUCAACAUCAAUUUCUUUUGUUGUAAAAGAGUCAUUGGAAGGUGGCUUUCACUUCGGUGAAAGUGUUUAUAGCCUUUGCUCUCUGCAAUCGGAGAGAUUGAGGUCUGCAGCGUAGAUCCUUCGGGGUUAGAUACAUUUGUGCUAAGUUAUAGCUUUUUCAUAGACAACAUGUUGACUAUGAUUCAGUCAUGUAGCUUACUCGCUUAUGCUAUUUUACCUACGCUUAGGAUGUUGACAGCAGUAUAGACUGU